rnacentral:tRNA from 1 species
GGACAGGUGCCAGAGCGGUUGAUUGGGCACGCCUGGAAAGCGUGUGGUCGUGCAUAGCGGCCCGAGGGUUCGAAUCCCUCCCUGUCCGC